rnacentral:piRNA from 1 species
UGACUUUUGUGCACAGUAGAGUUCAGUUGGUC